UCGGGUUGUAAGAACUGAGUUUUAGGGAUAUCAAGCCCAUCUUCUCCAUACAGAAACUGCACCACACUGCCAUCGCUGUCCCGUACUGUCAGGUCAUACUGAACCACCAGUCCUUCCAAAUGCUUUAUGAUACACCUUUGUAGGUACCCAGAACGGCUGGUUUUGACAGCUGUAUCCACGAGACCUUCCCUGCCAGCCAUGCAGUGAAAGAAGAAUUCAGAAGGUUUGAUCCCAGUGAGAAAUCUGCCAGUCACAAAUCCUCCUGAGCUAGGGGAAAAGUCAUAAGGUUGGAAACAUGGCAGAGAUUUGCCAGAUGCCAUCAGUGGGGGCCUUCGACCUUCC
rnacentral:lncRNA from 1 species